AUUGUGUAUAUUGAUAUGAUAUGAAUGCAGAAAGGUCCUAAAUCUUACUAGAAUGUAUGCAGAUUGUGUAAAAUUGAGCAACAUGACACCUUGUUUAAGCACAAUGUUGUUGGGCGGGGUAACUCACCUCUAAAGUCAAGUCAGUCAAGUUUUCACUCACAGUUGAACAGUCACACCUCGGAGCUUUGUGUCAGUCUAUGCUUCGUUCCCACAGUUAUAAGACUGGCUGGCUGAAGGACGUAACCUGAAUUCCUGUGGUUGGCACUGGCCGUCUGGAAUUCCUCAUAUGGAAAUGUAUCUCCUCCUCUCCCACAUUUAAUGUGUGUUAAUGUAUUAUCUUUAUGUUCGAUGAUAACGCUUUUCCAAAGCACGUUAAAGUCAGCUGGCGUCGAGAGGGAAUCGAAUUGUAUGUCUGUAUCUUUCCAUUGGUCUCAGCCAGAUCUCUGACGCGUUAUUACGCGUGGCCUGCAGCAGCACAACUUUGCGUAACAGUAGUCUAUGACAUUAUAUUACUGUGGACUAUUAUCAGGUGAAGAGUGUGUAUUUCCUAUGUAAUGGAUAUUACCAUCGGAACGGAUCUGAGUGAGAUAGAGAGAAAGAUGGCUCGGAAGAUUCCAGAGAGUCUGUUUCCUUUUGCCACGGAUGGACGGAUGAUGAAAGAUAAUACAGAUGCUAGAGACGAGUGGGACUCGCCUGGCCAUGUAAAAGACAUGUCCUACACCACGAGUCUGCAGAGCAACAUGCGACUCCUAAGACAAUAAAUGGCACACCUGCGGGGCAUGGACGUCCGUCUGAUGUGCCAGCUCCUGUCGAUCAACGACGGCAUCGAGGCGACGCGCUGGGACCUGGAGGUGUAGCUGAGGUUGGGGAUGGCAGCGGUGACUAGCCAGGAGAGUAGCCUGGCCGAGAGCCAGGAUGCAUCCCGGCGAAGCAGCAUGUCCAGUCUGCACUAUGGGAGAGAUGGUUUUGAUGUGAUGACUGUGGGGAGUUAUCUGGGUAGCUUGGCGGAAGACCCAGCGGCGAUACCGGCCCUCUCUCGCCCGCUGACCAGGAACACUGUAUCCAGAGGGUUUCAGAGGACAACGUUAGUGGGGGAGAGUCCAGGAACACUGUAUCCAGAGGGUUUCAGAGGACAACGUUAGUGGGAGAGAGUCCAGGACAAUGUGAGAGUGAAAUUACAAGAUGAUGUUAUAAUACUGUUGUAGGCUUCACAACAGAAUUAAAUGAUUGUUUUUCUGGAAUAGAAUAGGGGUUUUAGAACACUCUCAUCUGUGGUCUUCUGAGUUGGGCCCUGGGGGAGAUAAGGUCUGAGACAGGAUGUGUGGGGUAGUGUCUGGUUCCAUUGUACGUCCUCUCUGAUGUUGCACCUAUCCUGGGAUAGUGUAUGACCCAGAGGCUCACUCCCCUCAGUCUGCUCGUCUAGGCGAGUGCUCAAGGACAUGGGUUUUACUUGAGAUGGGGGUAUCUGGAGCUGACAAUUGAUUUAUGCCAUAGAAUGAGUUAGUGUUGCUGUACUAUGAAGUACCAGGUAUGAGAUCUUAGGGGCCAAACUCUGUACAAUAACAACAGUUUUCAUAGCAAAUGGGUCACAAGGUGGUGAGACUUGAUACAUGAGAAAGGAGUAUCACCCAGCCAGAUACUUUUUUCUCAUGUAUCAAGUCUCACCACCUUGUGACCCGUUCCACACAUCUGUUGUUUGUCAUGUAGACUAAGAGUGUGUAUCUUUACUAUAAAAGGUGUUUGUCGGGGCUCUCAACGAAUCAUCUAAAGGUGGUUCGUCGACCAUCUUCAUUAUUGGAAUAAUUAAUCAAUGUUAUUAAUACGUUUUGAAUAAAGUAAAUAUCCUGAUUGGUAA
rnacentral:lncRNA from 1 species